GCAAACAAUUCAAACGCCUGUAUACAUUAAGGCCAAAAAUAGAUAUCUGAUUAGUGGCGGCUACGUCACCAGGUGGGGCUGUUCAGUUCGACCAUCGGCAGAGCUACCACAGAUUUAUGGGCGGGGUGUGUCUGCUUCAAUGUUCUCGGGUCUCAUAUAGACUAGCCAUAUAGCCAGAGCGCAGUGCGGCGCACUCCAACGAUCUCAGUCGGAUGUAGACAACAAUCGGCCGCAGAACAGAACACAUCAAAAGGUAGACAGUUUUUUGCUGGGGCAUGUACCUCGUGCAUCGACACUACCUACCUGUGGUACCUGAUCUCCAGAGAUUCCGGGCGACAUGUAGAUGACGGAAAGCAAGCAGCGGCGGUGCAAGUUUAGCAGUAGCAGGAAGAUUGUGGCAAGAAGGACAUUUGGCAGUUGUAAAAAACAAGUUUCCAAUCGUUAUGCAUUUUGCUUGGAUUUAUUUAUAGACGCGGUAUUGGUUUUAAGUAUUAAAUACAUGAGAGAUACAAUUAAACAACAAAAGAGUGUACGCGAGUGUUGGUUCUUAAUAACCAAAUGGAAACAAAUCAAUUAAACUUCAAAGUCAUCGUAAAGUGAUCGAACAUAAAAAACAUAUCGGGUAAACAUAAACAUGACAGAUAAGACUUAAAACAAAGGUCGCAUGAGUUUUUAUGAUUAAUUUUUUAGUAAAGCUUCUCGCCACAAAGGAAAACAUGUAACAAAGAGUAUUAAAAUUGGCGGCAAAAGCAGCAUUUACUUUCGAGAUUCGUUUGGAUUUUGUACACGAAAUGUAUGAUUGAUUGGUGACGAUCGAGAACGAAAGUGUGUGACAAAUAAUAGAGUAACGAAACGAAUUAGUAAAAAGCGGUAAUAAAAAAUGAAUAAUAAAAUCUCAUGCAACAUCACUACAAAAUAAAUAAAAUUCUAUUAAAUUAAAUUCAAUUAAAGUAAACAAUACAAUAAUCAUUUUAACAUCGUCUACUAUCGGAGUCAUCAUAGAUGGACUGCAGGACCGGAUCGUACGACUGUCUGUUCGAAGUUGCUGAGGGGACUACGGAAUCUUAACCAUUGCUUAAAAGCCGAAAUCUGCCUGGCAGCUAAAUAUAAACCUUCGGGCAACUAUGAAUCACAGAGGCCCGCGGCUUGAUGACUGAACAGCCGUAACUGAUUAAUCUAAUUAAAUUCUUUUCUGCACCAUAAACAGAAUCAUCAAUUCAUGUUCUUCUCUAAUGACCAAGAGGAUGAGUCGCCCGACUAACACCGGUAUAUUUCUCAUCUCUGCCUGAUACACCUUAUAGACAGCAGUAGCAACAACAAAAGGUAAUUUAUCAUUAUGUUUUCUUCUAGAACCUAGAAGCUAGUACCUAAACCAUCCACGUAUGCCUAAGCAAAUAUAUUUAUUCGGUUUCGGUGUUUUUUGUGUUUUAUUGAAAGAAAAUUGAAAUAAAUUUCAAGAUUUACUUGAGAAAAUA